UAGGUUCAACCUCCUCGUCCUCGUAUUGUCAAUUCCUGAUUUUGAUCUUGGUCACUGGCCUAUCAGCAAUGUCAUACUUCCUCUUCGAAGUAUUCAACCUUGUGUAGGUUAUAUGGGAACACAUCCUCAAAGAAUAUGCGAUUCUAGAUUCCUAACCGUAUUGACAUGAAUUCAGGAUUUCACUCUUAUGCACUAGGAAUCAUAGCACUGCUAUUGUUUUGGCAUAUGCCUAUGAAUACACAAUCAAUAGGUUUCAAUCCUAUUUUUACCUUUUAGGGUCAGGAAUUUGCAACUUAGCCAAGCACCCCCACACUUUCAAAAUAUUUGUAAGAAGGUCUAUGACCUUCCCAACUCAUAUGGUGUUUAUUGUUUAUUGUGAGGGACUUUAUAGUAUGUAAGUUGGGCAGAAAGUAUUGGCUUCCCCCCACAAGUUCUGGGUAAUCGAACUUUAUAACAUGGCAUUCAUCAUUUCUUUUAAGUUUCUAUUUUUUCCUUUCUGCACACGUUUUGUUGUGGUGAAUAGGGUGCGUAGUUUGGGGAAUUAUUCCAUGUUGAAACAUAACUCCCCAAAAGGUGUUCAUAUUCACCACCCUAUCACUUCUGUAGAACUUUUAUAUUUUUUUCCAAGUUGAUUUUCACUUCAAUUAUACUGCAUAAACUUGUUAAUGCUCAUCCUUGCUUCGUAAGCAAGUACACAUCGCAUACCUUGGUACUGUCCAUCUAUAAAAUGAUAAAAUAUUUUUUUACCUCCUCGUGUUUGAACAAAUUCAAUCACAAAUAUCACAUGAAUUAAAUCAAGAGUUCAGUACUUCUUUCCACAGAUGAAAAGGUGCUUUUGUUAAUUUGUGCUCACACAUACUCACUUUGUGAGUAUUUUAUAUUAAAUUUUGGUAAAUAUUCCAUGGUACCUAAUCUACUAAUAGAAUCAAAAUUAACAUGUCGCCAAUCUACCAUUCAAAUAUCAGAAGACUCAAUCAGUAGCAGAAGAAGAUUGCAUUCUUAUUCAUAUUAACUUUUUGGGAUUACAGUGAGUACAUUCAUUUUGAAUAUCCAUCAGCUAAGUACCCCUUCCCACAUAAACCUCCAUCCUUAAGUAGAAUAAACUUCUCUGACACAAAACACGCUUAAAUCCAUGCUUGCUAAGUAGAGAUCCUGAAACAAGAUUCUUGCAGAUCUCCGGCACAUGGAGUACGUUAUUCAGAGUUAGUCCUUUCCAGAGGUCAUUUUCAAGCACGACCUUCCUUGCCUUCACCUUGGAAUUGGCGAGUUUUUCAUGAAAAUUUGUUCACCAUUGUGACAACCUGAUAAGUAGUGAACAUCUCUUUAUUUGAGCACACAUGACGAUAGCCCCUGUGUCCACCCCACAUCCUGGUUGUUUAGAGCCGAUCAUGUUUGCCUCAGUCAGAACCGCACACAGGUCAUACAUUUACUCCAUUGGAGAUAUUCUCCACAUCAUGUUGGCUUUUGAGCAUGCGUUGGCUUUUUGAAGCCCUUCCUUGAUUCUUUUCGCCACGACGUCUUUGGCUUGAUGUCCAAGCUUGUCGCAGAUAUAACACUUGCCAGUGAAUUUGAAGUUUGCCUUUAGCCAUUCCCCCUAAGGAAAUUUUGAAAUUUCUUUAUUUGGUCUUGGAGGCUUGACCUGUGAGCUCUAACCCUGCUCCACAAUAUUUGCCUUCGAUUUGUAUUGCAGCCUUGGUUUCCCUUUUUCUCGGAAAACCUAUUGUCCGUCCUCAAUUCUGAGCCGCACAAUCAAGUCUUCCAGAUUCAUCUCCUUUCGGCUUGUGCUUGCGAUAGUUCUUGAAAUCCUUCCAUGAAGGUGGAGUUUUUCACUCACUGCAGCUAACUUGAAAAGUCCUCACUGAGUUGCAUCCCUUCUGCAUGAAUUUCAUGCAGAUCCAAUUGGAAUUCUUUGGACUUGCUAAUCACAGUUUUGGCAUCUACCAUCAUGUAUUCUAGAAAUCUCCCACUACAAACUCUUGACUCCAGCACUAUUCCCAGUUUUUGUACUUCUUCUCCAAAGACUCCCACAGUUCUUCUGGUCAGUCGUCUUGGCACAAUACACAAUUGUAGAGUGAAUUGGUCCAGCCUAUUCAUGACAAAUAAUUCCUGCACAGGAAAUCAGCCACGUCCCAAGCACAAUCUCUCUCGCGGUAAUUACCGUUCGCUUGGUUUCAGCAACCCUCACUCACGACAGAACGUCCUCUUGUGAGAAACCGAGUACUACUCAAAGUUGGCGUCAUAUAGAUAGUAUCUUUUUGCUUGCCAUCUUUUUAAACGGUCCAUUUAAAACGUUCUGCUUCCAGCAUGGUUCACCGAGUAAUGUUAGUUUGGAAUCUGGUGCAUCAAAUGCAUCGGGGAUGGCCAUCCAAAGAAUUGGCCCCAACAGCAAGGUUUCCCCGUUCAUAGUCCUAACUCUCUGGGUCCUUUCACGCAGCCUCAUGUUCAGCUAUCCCAGAAUUAUCAAUCGUCUCAGUUGUUCAUCUACACUUAAAACACGAAAUUAGUAAUCUGGUAUUACAUCAGAAUAUAUAAUUUCGUUAUUUUUCAUCACAAUAAAUUCAGAAACCAAACACUGUUUAUUAGUAAACAAACAAUCUGAAAUCGAAUUCUGUCCUUAAGAUUGUUAAAAAAAUUAUUCAGUAAAUUGCUGAAUUUAUAAUACAAAUAAAUUACAGAUGAACAAAAAACUGUAUUAAAAAUACUAAUAGAAAUCACAAAGGUUGAUCUAGGCCAGCGUUCAACACUGUUCCUUAAGACAGAAUAUUCGCUCCGUCACUGGGGGCUUAACGGCUGUUGUCGUCUGUCCUCCCAUAUGGCAACAAUCUCGCCACAGAAGUUAGUACGAAUUCGUGUACUCGGCGAACGGAAGUAGUGUCACUCUCUUCACAAUGAUUCUAAUGCAGAGGUCGAACUCUCUUUUUCUCACUUAUGAACUCUCAGAUUUUUGUGGUGCUUUGAACCUUUCAAUAGAUUUGGUAUUUAUAGGAUUUUCCAUGGCUGAUGAAAAGCCACGAAUUUAAUCCUCUUGAAGCCAAUUGUAAACAGCCCACUAAUCAGCCAAAUAACUCCAUCUUCUGGGCUGUAAUGGCUGCUUUUAUCAACGAUGAAAAUCUUGACCUUUCAGUGAUAGGAAUAAAAAGAAAAAAUGGGAGGUUAAUCUGUAAUAAAAUUACUUGGGGUUUAAUUUUUAAUUAGAAAUUACAAGUAGUUUAUUCUGUAAUUAAAACCUACAGGAUUUAAAAAGUAAUUAACCAUUACUCUACAAACCCACCAUCGCAAACCCACGCCCAUGUGCACUAAGUGCCAAGUGCGCCACUAAUAGCGCCCAAAGCUCCCAUUGCUCCCAUCGCCCACCGCACGCGCCACGCGGACCGCGACUCGCUGCUGUGGGCAGCCGCGCGUGGCACAUGAAAGCUAAGGUAACAAUAUGACUCACAGCUUUGGUCCAUACCUCCCCUUGGUGUUCCAAGUAUUAUGUGGUUAAUAUUAUGCUUGGAGUAUAUUAACACCCUUUAACAAUCCUAUUUAUUCCGAUGUGGGAUUUCACAUUUUUCUAUCAAUGGUACACCUUGAUGAACAUUUUUCUCAUUCACCUUUAUUCGUUUGGGGGGGAGCACAUAAAUAUACUACGUUAUCUACUCGCGAAUGAGAAUCCAUUCCACAACCUGGUUCAAUACUUUCGAUAACCGGGACCGUCAUCCCUAAAAUUAGGUCAAACUCAGCUGGCAAACUUAACUUUUUCCAAUAAUCCCCCACAUGAAUGAAAUUGUUCUGUUUUAAUGCACAAAAUAUUAGUCCUAAGGAGAGGAACUAAAAGAAUUCCCUGUUAGCGAUAGGUAGCUUUGUCCUGAACCUAACAUUGUGAAAAACUAUCGGCAUUACGAGCUAAUCAGUGGACCUGAUGCCCUUGAACUUCAGCUAUUUGUGUAAUCCAAACACAAUAAUGAUCACACAAGAGGUUUUCCCAAACCACAAAACUUGUUCUCAUGGGUUGUGCCCAUUUUGGCCCUGGGCAAUCGCCUGGUAAUUUUAUGAUGCUGCUUUGAGAAUUUAGCCUUUAUCAUUCUCAUAGACGCGGCUCCUUCAACACUCAUAUAGGUGGAUUUCUUCAUUAAGAUAUCCUGUGCAUCUAUCCUACUCGGAAUUAUUACUAAGAUAUGAUAUUUUAAAGCAUAGCUUAGCCUCAACCCUGAUACAGGUAUCAGGGAUUUUCAUAGAAAUGGGUAUAAAUAAUUUCCCCACAGUGAUUCUCUACUAGUUACACACACUUGGUUGUCCCAUUGAACUAUAUCUUGUGAUCUCCAGUCAAUAGUGUGUUGGGCCAUUGAGGUGACUUUAAUUAAUAGGCUUUAUUCAUGUCCCUCGCUAAUCGUAAACUUGCUCCUUAGUCAAUCUUUAGUCACGGAUCCGUAGAUUAUCUUUACUUUAUAUACUCAAUAAUAUAAUGCCACAUGAAGCAAGUGUUUCCGUUAUUGUGUCUUGUGUCUUCGACGUAUGUGUCUAUACUUACCAUGUACCUGUUAUUUCUGCUCUUUCAUUGCUGAUUACUAUCGCAAUGGACGCAUAUUUGAGAAACUGCUUAGGCCACAACAGAAAAUCCUCUAGAAGUGACGAAGCCAUUCAGCCUUCUCCAGCUUAUCUAAACUAUAAAUUCUGAUCCAUUGUGGACCUUGCUAUACAUGUUUGCUUGGAUGACUUCCAAGACACAGCUUCAAAACAAAAAAACAACAAAAACCACCAACUGUACAGACAUAUCUACUCGUGGAUUUAGAGUGGUUUACUAUACUAUCGGAUAUUCAAUUUUGAUCACUGUACCCUUCUAGUACGCUGAUUCUCGUGUAGUGUAGACCCAUAAUUUUGGGUAUAUCUUAAAUAUCGUAAACACCACGAAAUUAUUGCUUGCGCAAUGAUCACACUUGGGGUAGUGAGUAUACCUACUCAGCUUACUUUACCGCCUAAGCUAAAUCUGGCAUUGUCAAUUCAUAAGAUACCUCAACUCC
rnacentral:lncRNA from 1 species